ACCUUAGCUCAGAGGUUAGAGCAUCGCAUUUGUAAUGCGAGGGUCAUCGGUUCAAAUCCGAUAGUCGUC
rnacentral:ncRNA from 7 species